rnacentral:rRNA from 1 species
AGCGAACGUUUGCGGCGGGCUUAACACAUGCAAGUCGAACGGGCUGUCCCUUCGGGGGCAGUCAGUGGCGCACGGGUGCGUAACACGUAGGUAAUCAACCCUCUGGUUGGGGAUAACACUUCGAAAGGAGUGCUAAUACCCGGUAUGGCGCAGCGGUCUUCGGAUCGCGGCGAGAAAGACCCGCAAGGGUUGCCAGAGGACGAGCCUGCGGCCCAUCAGCUAGUUGGCGAGGUAACGGCUCACCAAGGCGAAGACGGGUAGCUGGUCUGAGAGGAUGAUCAGCCACACUGGAACUGAGACACGGUCCAGACUCCUACGGGAGGCAGCAGUGGGGAAUAUUGCGCAAUGGGCGAAAGCCUGACGCAGCCACGCCGCGUGAGCGAUGAAGGCC